rnacentral:rRNA from 1 species
GACGAACGCUGGCGGCGUGCCUAAUACAUGCAAGUCGAACGCAGUGGGGACGGGUGAGUAACACGUGGGUAACCUCCCAUCAGAGGGGAUAACACUUGGAAACAGGUGCUAAACCGAUACAGAUGGAUGACCCCGCGGUUAAUUAGCUCGUUGGUGAGGUAACUGCUCACCAAGGCCACUAGGCAUAGCCGACCUGAUAGGGGGAUCGGCCACAUGGGGACUUAGACACGGCCCAGACUCCUACGGUAGGCAGCAGUAGGGAAUCUUCGGCAAUGGACGAAAGUCUGACCGAGCAACGCCGCGUGAGUGAAGAAGGUUUUCGGAUCGUAAAACUCUGUUGUUAGAGAAGCGGUAUCUAACCAGAAAGCCACGGCUAACUACGUGCCAGCAGCCGCGGUAAUUC